GUCCUGCGGGACCGAGAGCUCUGGAGAAACGCCGGCCGCUUGGCCGGCUGGAGAAGCGGGCGGUACCGGGCUUGACCUGCCUCCGGGGCUCGCCCUGCCGCGCGACGCGUCUGCCCAGGGCGGAGGGUUUUCCUAUUGGCUGCGUGAUUUGAAUGGAGUGGACACAGGUCGAGCCUUAGGUGCUUGGCGGUGCUCUUUCCAAGGAACUCGGGUGAACCCGGGCUGCGCAGUCUUGAUCGAGAGCGUUUGAAAAAAGUGGGGUGUGAGCCUUCCCCACGGCCCUGGUGGCUGUGACCGAGGUGAUCGCCUACUGACAGGGCCUGUGUGUGUGGCACUGCCCAGGAGGUUAGCUCAGCCUUGUUAACUGGUCCUGACCUUUUAAGGGAUUUAUGGUUCCAGCUCCAUUGCUUUCUAUGGAGUAAAGACCCGGGCUGCGUCUAGAAUUCAAAAGGCAUGUGGAUAAAGGCCGUUAAUUCGACCAAUACUUAUCGAAUACCUGUCUAGUAAGUCGUGACUUCCCAGGCACUAAAAAUACAAUAAAUAUAAUUUCUUUGAACCCAUUUUGUAAAUUCACGUGCUGUAAAAGACAUUAUCAUAAAGGGGUUUUAACUUUGCCUUUUCUAAACACUGUCUCCCACCCACCCACACACUUCAAGUCUAUAAUAAGUCAGAAAACCCUACCAUUGAAUGUUUUGGGCUCCUCUAGAGUCUACAGUCUUGAGACUGAGAUUUCCUCCCAGAAAAGAAAACAGUUUCAAUUCUGAGUCAGGCUUACAGGGGCUGCCCAUCUCUGUGCCCUACCCCCCUUCUGGUGAUACUACAGUGAAAACUUAUUUUCUUACUCUCAUCAUAUUGCUUUUCGUAGACUACAUUAGAAUAAUUGAGUAAAAUCUGCUUAGGGAAUUACCUUCUUAUAGAACUGAAUAUUCUGAACCUCAAUUUUAGGAAUUUUAAUAGAAUCUUACAUAGGAUAAAAAUACUUCCUUUGAAACACAAAAUGAGUGUGCCACACAUGAAAUACACUAUUGUAUCUUCAUAAAAUGUGCCAAGGAUCUAGCAUCGGCCGUUCACAUACCAAUGAUAAUAAUGGUG
rnacentral:lncRNA from 1 species